UACGUAGGGUGCGAGCGUUAAUCGGAAUUACUGGGCGUAAAGCGUGCGCAGGCGGUUUUGUAAGCCAGAUGUGAAAUCCCCGGGCUCAACCUGGGAAUGGCAUUUGGGACUGCAAGGCUUGAGUGCGGCAGAGGAGACUGGAAUUCCUGGUGUAGCAGUGAAAUGCGUAGAUAUCUGGAGGAACACCCGUGGUGCAGACGGCUUGCUGGACCGUGACUGACGCUGAGGCACGAAAGCGUGGGUAGCAAACAGG
rnacentral:rRNA from 1 species